AUUGAACGCUGGCGGCAGGCUUAACACAUGCAAGUCGAGCGGUAACAGGGGGUGCUUGCACCCCGCUGACGAGCGGCGGACGGGUGAGUAAUGCUUAGGAAUCUGCCCAGUAGUGGGGGAUAGCCCGGGGAAACCCGGAUUAAUACCGCAUACGUCCUACGGGAGAAAGCAGGGGAUCUUCGGACCUUGCGCUACUGGAUGAGCCUAAGUCGGAUUAGCUAGUUGGUGGGGUAAAGGCCUACCAAGGCGACGAUCCGUAGCUGGUCUGAGAGGAUGAUCAGCCACAUCGGGACUGAGACACGGCCCGAACUCCUACGGGAGGCAGCAGUGGGGAAUAUUGGACAAUGGGGGCAACCCUGAUCCAGCCAUGCCGCGUGUGUGAAGAAGGCUUUCGGGUUGUAAAGCACUUUCAGCGAGGAGGAAGGCUCUGAAGUUAAUACCCUCAGGGAUUGACGUUACUCGCAGAAGAAGCACCGGCUAACUCCGUGCCAGCAGCCGCGGUAAUACGGAGGGUGCAAGCGUUAAUCGGAAUUACUGGGCGUAAAGCGCGCGUAGGUGGUUAGGUAAGCGAGAUGUGAAAGCCCCGGGCUUAACCUGGGAACGGCAUUUCGAACUGUCUGACUAGAGUGUGGUAGAGGGUAGUGGAAUUUCCUGUGUAGCGGUGAAAUGCGUAGAUAUAGGAAGGAACACCAGUGGCGAAGGCGGCUACCUGGACCAACACUGACACUGAGGUGCGAAAGCGUGGGGAGCAAACAGGAUUGGAUACCCUGGUAGUCCACGCCGUAAACGAUGUCAACUAGCCGUUGGGACUCUUGAAGUCUUAGUGGCGCAGCUAACGCACUAAGUUGACCGCCUGGGGAGUACGGCCGCAAGGUUAAAACUCAAAUGAAUUGACGGGGGCCCGCACAAGCGGUGGAGCAUGUGGUUUAAUUCGACGCAACGCGAAGAACCUUACCUGGCCUUGACAUCCAGAGAACUUUCCAGAGAUGGAUUGGUGCCUUCGGGAACUCUGAGACAGGUGCUGCAUGGCCGUCGUCAGCUCGUGUCGUGAGAUGUUGGGUUAAGUCCCGUAACGAGCGCAACCCCUAUCCCUGGUUGCUAGCAGGUAAUGCUGAGAACUCCAGGGAGACUGCCGGUGACAAACCGGAGGAAGGUGGGGAUGACGCCAGGUCAUCAUGGCCCUUACGGCCAGGGCUACACACGUGCUACAAUGGCGCGUACAGAGGGCUGCCAACUCGCGAGAGUGCGCCAAUCCCUUAAAACGCGUCGUAGUCCGGAUCGGAGUCUGCAACUCGACUCCGUGAAGUCGGAAUCGCUAGUAAUCGCGAAUCAGAAUGUCGCGGUGAAUACGUUCCCGGGCCU
rnacentral:rRNA from 1 species